UACGUAGGGUGCGAGCGUUGUCCGGAAUUAUUGGGCGUAAAGAGCUCGUAGGCGGUGUGUCACGUCGGCCGUGAAAACCUGCAGCUUAACUGUGGGCGUGCGGUCGAUACGGGCAUCACUGGAGUUCGGCAGGGGAGACUGGAAUUCCUGGUGUAGCGGUGAAAUGCGUAGAGAUCCGGAGGAACACCAGUGGCGAAGGCGACACGCUGGGCCGUACCUGACACUGAUGCGCGACAGCAUGGGGAGCAAACAGG
rnacentral:rRNA from 1 species